ACCAGACUCCUACGGGAGGCAGCAGUGGGGAAUAUUGCACAAUGGGGGAAACCCUGAUGCAGCGACGCCGCGUGAGUGAAGAAGUAUUUCGGUAUGUAAAGCUCUAUCAGCAGGGAAGAAAAUGACGGUACCUGACUAAGAAGCCCCGGCUAACUACGUGCCAGCAGCCGCGGUAAUACGUAGGGGGCAAGCGUUAUCCGGAUUUACUGGGUGUAAAGGGAGCGUAGACGGCGGAACAAGUCAGAAGUGAAAACCCGGGGCUCAACCCUGGGAGUGCUUUUGAAACUGUUUGGCUGGAGUGCAGGAGAGGUAAGCGGAAUUCCUAGUGUAGCGGUGAAAUGCGUAGAUAUUAGGGGGAACACCAGUGGCGAAGGCGGCUUACUGGACUGUAACUGACGUUGAGGCUCGAAAGCGUGGGGAGCAAACAGGAUUAGAUACCCCAGUACUA
rnacentral:rRNA from 1 species